UUUUAGUCUGCCCUGCUCAGCCACACUCCACCCCUUUGAAAAUCAUUCCCCGUCCCCCAACACAGCUGCCCCUUCCAGAAAGCAUGAGUGGGGUCCACACCCGGAGGCUGUUUGGAAAUGAAGUCUCCCUGACAGUGUCCUUUGGAGAGGACCAGGGCGGAAGUCCAGCAGGUUAGAGCAGAGAAGAAUGUGUGACUGAUUCUUGGGAAGUGUGACUCGAGAGAGCGUCCUGUGAUCUGAGAGAGGAGGGCUAAGGGGUUGUUACUACAGGAUGAAGGAGCUAGUUCUAGAGAAGUGGAUGUUUUUGUUUGUUUGUUGUUUUGUUUUUUGGUUUGUUUUUGUCUAGAGCAAGGUGGACAUUCUAAGCCCUUACUUCUUCCAAAAGGUAUGAUGAUCACUUUCGGUAGAGGACUAUAAACUGAUGUGAGAUUCGUAGAAAGGCAAGAUGCAUUACUAAUGAGGAAGUGCUUGGGAGCACAUCCCUAAGCAUCCAUCGCCUGGGUGUGCUGGGCAACAGGAUCAGGAGUCCUCCCUCUGGGCUGUGUGCUUGGGAAGGGCCAGCCAGGUUGGGGGAAGAAAGAGUUGGAGUGAAGGGAGGAUUCAGAGACCACCACGGACCCUGGAUACAGAUGUCAGAGCGGAGUGCUGCUUUACCACUUUUUGUCCUUGUCUAAACAACUUGGGUGUAUAGGAGUUUAUCUUUCCCCUACAAAUAAGGAUGCUGGGAUAGCUUUGUGCCGGCAUUGGAGUGAGGAGCAGCAACCUAACCUGACUGAAGACACUUGGUGCUGGCUGCCCUGCAAUUUAAACGUUUGGCUCUGCUAACAGAAGCGGAGCCUCAGACACAGAUGAGGAUGGAGGCUGAAAAUUCCCAGACAGCAUAAUAAGGCUGAAAGAGAAAAGAGCAGAAAUCAGAAUUGCUAUGUCACCCACCAGCUCUUCGACAUCAUCAGCAGAUUCUCCAUACCUUCUUCACUACCAAAGAAAGGGAAGGGAUUCUCAUGAAGGCAACUAAAGUGCUCCCCAGAAUGGCUUCAGUGGUUGAUGACCAGAGGGCAGAGGCAAUUGAACGUGCUCUGCCAAGAAGGAGACCCCCAUGGGACUACAACAUAGAGAGAGGCUCUCAAAGUUAAGAAUUUUUUCUUGAGUCUCAAAAGUAUUUGGACUUCUAAAAGCUAUGGAAACAUUUAGAGAUGGACCAACAGGAGGUGAAAAUAGGACUUUGAGGCAAGGGGUGGAAUGCUCUGACAAGCUUACGUGUUUGGAUGUCAAGUUGACAAGGCUGAAAUUGUGAUUGUUAAUCUUCAGUCAAAGUGAUAGAAUUUAGAAUCAUCGUGGAAACCCCUCUGAAUGUGCCUACAAAGGUGUUUCCAGGAAGCCUUAACUAAAGAAGGAAGAUCUACUUGGAUGUGGGCAGCACUGUCCCAUGGGCUGGGUCCCAGACUGAGUAAAAAGGAGAAAGUGAGCGGAGCACCAGCAUUCCCUGCCCCCCCCCCAUCUCUUCCUGACUUCUCAGUGUGACCCGCUGCUUCACACUCCUGCUGUCAUGCCAUCUCCACCAUGAUGGAGCACACCCUCAAGCCAGGAGCCAGAAUAAGCCCUCCUUCCCUACCUUAGUGAUGUUGGUCACGUGCUUUGUCACAGUAGAGUGAGAAAAGUAACUGACAUAAUAAA